rnacentral:lncRNA from 1 species
UCAAUACCUAAUUUAUUGAGAGUUUUUAGCAUGAAGGGUUGUUGAAUUUUGUCAAAGGCCUUUUCUGCAUCUAUUGAGAUAAUCAUGUGGUUUUUGUCUUUGGCUCUGUUUAUAUGCUGGAUUACAUUUAUUGAUUUGUGUAUAUUGAACCAGCCUUGCAUCCCAGGGAUGAAGCCCACUUGAUCAUGGUGGAUAAGCUUUUUGAUGUGCUCCUGGAUUCGGUUUGCCAGUAUUUUAUUGAGGAUUUUUGCAUCAAUGUUCAUCAAGGAUAUUGGUCUAAAAUUCUCUUUUUUGAUUGUGUCUCUGCCCGGCUUUGGUAUCAGGAUGAUGCUGGCCUCAUAAAAUGAGUUAGGGAGGAUUCACUCUUUUUCUGUUGAUUGGAAUAGUUUCAGAAGGAAUUGUACCAGUUCCUCCUUGUACCUCUGGUAGAAUUUGGCUGUGAAUCCAUCUGGUCCUGGACUCUUUUUGGUUGUUAAACUAUUAAUUAUUGCCACAAUUUCAGCUCCUUUUAUUGGUCUAUUCAGAGAUUCGACUUCUUCCUGGUUUAGUCUUGGGAGAGUGUAUGUGUCGAGGAAUUUAUCCAUUUCUUCUAGAUUUUCUAGUUUAUUUGCGUAGAAGUGUUUGUAGUAAUCUCUGAUGGUAGUUUGUAUUUCUGUGGGAUCGGUGGUGAUAUCCCCUUUAUCAUUUUUUAUGGCAUCUAUUUGUUUCUUCUAGAGAUGGGGUUUCACGCCAUGUUGCCCCAGGCUGGUCUUGAACUCUUGACCUCAAGUGAUUCACCUUCCUCAGCUGCCCAAAGUGCUGGAAUUACAGGCGUGAGCCACUGCACCCGGCCUAGGUUAUAUAUAUUCUUAUACACUGCUGUAUUCAUUUAACUAGGUUUAUGUGUGUGUGGGUGACAAGUGAUUUUAGUUUAGUUUUUAUUGCUUAGUGUAUUCUAGUUUGGUUUUGGUAUCAAAUGUAAGCUUGCCUCAUACAAUGAGUAAAGAGUGUUUCCUCUGUGUGAUUAUUUGAAGAGUUUAUAUGAAAUUGUCUUCUCUUUUUUUUUGGUAGAAUUUACCUGUAAAGUCAUCAGUACUGCACAUUUUGUUAAUAGAAAGGUUAACUACUGAUUUAAAUUCUUUGAUGUUUAUUGGUUUGAAUCAUUCAAUUUUUCUCUUGAGUCAGUUUUAAUAUUUUGUAUUUUUAUAGUAAUUUAUCCAUUUCAUUUACAUUUUCAAAUUUUCUCCUCUAAACUAUUAGUAAUACAUGACCAUAACAUCCUCUCAUUUUUCUUUUUGUGGGAGCCUGUCUCUCCAUCAAGCCAAGAAUCUCCUUUAAUGAUAUCUAGGACAGGUUGUUCCUCCUCGUCUGUCAGUGACCCAUCAGCCUGUUGAGUACUGGGGAAGCACAGUGCCUGUUACUGGCAAGUUUACUGCCUUCAUUCUUUCUAAUCUUGAUCUUUUAUGCUGAAGUGUUAGUUUAUCUAUUCUCAGAAGACAUUUGGACAAAAAUGCUAUUUUUAAUUUCAAAUGAAAAUUAUGUUGUUAGAAUUAGUCUCUGUAUAAAUCAGAGUCACAUUUUAAAUUUUCCUAGGACUUGGUUGGUUUUCUCAGCACACUCUCAGCUCCUGGCAGGUUUGCAUAGAGCAGGCAACAAUGGGAAAGUGCUCACAGAAAAUUUUGCAUCUAUAAGUGGAUAGGGAGGUGAUGGAAUAGGGCAUAUGUGGGAAGAUACAGGAAAAGGAAAACUGUUCUUACUCCUUACCCGCCCCCCCCAUAGGAGAUGGUGCUGUACAGCGGGAAAGAGAAUUGGAUUAUAGUUUUCUGCUCCCUAAUUGUAACUUUCUUUUUCAUUUAUUUCAGGAAGUUAUAUAUACAAUGGUGUAAAAUUGAAAAGUUAUUAAAAACUAUACAGAGAAAAAACUUCAUUUUCACGCCUGACCUCUACUUCCCUUACUGGAGUAACGACUCCAUUUUAUUGUUUUCUUCCGGAGAUAUUCUAUCUAUAUAAGCAUAGUGGUAUAUUGCUUAAAAAUACACAAAUAACACUGCCUGUGUGAUUUUAGGAAAAUCUCUUGAACUUCAUUAUUAACUUCUUUAAAUUCCUAGAUGAAAAUACUUACACAAACCUGGAAAAACUCAGUGAUUUUGUAGAAAUCAAUCAAGUAGUGUUUGUGAACAUGUUUGGAAAAUCAUCAGUUAUUUUAUAAGUUUGAGAUGGAGGGAGGGUAGUCAUGAAAGUUUUACUUUUCUACACAAAAGACAAUGAGUCACAUGGGAUCUGACUUGACAAGAGUGAUUCUGAAUUGGCAGCCUGGCUGUGUGUCAGCAGCCCCCUGGCUAAUUCCUCUCAUAGUGUGUUGGGGUUUUCUUCAUGGCUAAUGAGGAGAUCUAUUCGCUUGAGAUAGGAAGUGGAAGCUUGCCAGAGUGUGAGACACCUCACUUUCCUCCCUCCCUCCUUCCCUUUGCCCUUCCUCACGUUUAGGGAGUUAGUAUUGGAACUUUGGCUGAUGCAACAGUUUGAGUCACUGUCUCUCUGUGCUGUGGGAUCCACUCACUUUUAAUGGGGAGUUGAUGGAAUCACUCCUCCCUCCCCCACCCUGACUUCCUCCUCUAAUUGGCUCUCAGGGGACUCCAACUCCUGCUAAUCAACCAUGGCAGAGCUGCUGCAGAGAGCCCGAAACUGGCACUCAGGGACCUAGGUUCUGUUGUGACUCUGCUCCUUCAACUUUCUUUUCUAAUCUGUUAAAACAACUUUGCCUUUGGAUUAGGCCUGGGAGAAUGGGGUUCCUUUGGGCAUUGCCUUUGCAGAGACAGUUUUAAUAAUGCCAGCAUCUUCUAGACUUUGCCAACUAUUGUGUUCAGCUUGAAUCUUUUUAUUCAUGGUGGCAGAGAGGGGAAAAGAUUAGGUAUCUGUUUCAUGUGUCCACAGUGGGGGAGGCAAAUGAUAGGAGAAAAGAGAAGAUGAAAGAGCAUAUCAUUUGAGGAAUGUGAGCCUCAACAUAUUGGUCCACAUACUGCUUCUCUAUUAGCAAAAGGCCUUGUGGAAAACUUACCUUGUCUGCUUCUGUUUGUCACUGCCCAGAGGAAAGUAAACCUAGUUGUGCAGCUUUGGCCAAUAUUAUUAUUGGGUUACAUUUAAAAAAGUUAUUUUAAAAAUAGGCUUUGUCUUUUAAAGCAGUUUCAGGUUCACAGCAAUAUUGAAUAGAAAGUACAGAGGGUUUCUAUAUACCUCUUCACCAACCUUAUGCCCAACCUUCCCCAUUAUCAAUGUCCCAUCCCAGAGUGGUACACUUCCUAUAAUUCAUGAGCCUACAUUGACACAUCCUUAUCACUCCAAGUCCAUGGUUUAUAUUGGAGUUCACUCUUAGUGUUGUACAUUUUAUGGGUUUUGACAAAUGUAUACUGACAUGUAUUUAUUAAACUAUCAUACAGAAUCGUUUCAUUGCUGUACAAUCCUAUGUGUUCUACCUGUGUGUCCUUAUCUCCCCUCCUCCCUCACCCCUGGAAACCACUAUCUUUUUUCAUUUUUUAAUUAAAAAUUUUUUUUUCUUAUGCCUCCCAGGGCUUCCUUGCUAGAAACCACUAUCUUUUUACUGUUUCUAUACUUUUGCCUUUUUCAGAAUGUCAUAAAAUUGGAAUCAGAGUAUGUACCUUUUCAGGUUGACUCCUUACUCCAUGGAUUACCUUUCAAAAUGGACAUUUAAAAAUAAUUUUAGAAUGAUACUAAAGCUACAAUAGAGGCUUGUUUAUAUAUAUAUAAUCACCAGUGAUGAGAAGUUUUCUUUGCAAUGUACAUGGUAGCAAGUGGUAGAAGGAUCUGAUCCAGUGUACAACAUUUCAUUUAGAUGUCAUGUCUCUCCAUCCGAGUCUGUGAAAGUUUCUGUCUUUUCUUGUUUUUUUUAUGACCUUGACAGUCCAGAGGAGUAUUGUGUAGAAUGAUCC